rnacentral:rRNA from 1 species
GAUCAUGGCUCAGGAUGAACGCUAGCUACAGGCUUAACACAUGCAAGUCGAGGGGCAGCAUGGUCUUAGCUUGCUAAGACUGAUGGCGACCGGCGCACGGGUGAGUAACACGUAUCCAACCUGCCGUCUACUCUUGGACAGCCUUCUGAAAGGAAGAUUAAUACAAGAUGGCAUCAUGAGUCCGCAUGUCCGCAUGAUUAAAGGUAUUUUCCGGUAGACGAUGGGG